rfam:Cajanus cajan chromosome 9, whole genome shotgun sequence.
GAAGACAUGGUUGAUAAAUCAAUUAGAUGUGUGAAAGUAGAAGUGCUUUCUGAUCUCAAAUUUUGUGGUAUAUUGUUAUAUCGGACUUUGUCUUC